rnacentral:rRNA from 1 species
CAAGUCGAACGGACAUUUAGCUUUUUCGAAUGUUAGUGGCGAAAGGGUGAGUAACACGUGGGAUACGUACCCUAGGGUUCGGGAUAACCAAUCGAAAGAUUGGCUAAUACCGGAUACGUUCAUGUAUUUUCGAAUAUAUGAGGAAAGAUAGGGACCUCUUCGGAGGCCUGUCACCCCUGGAUCGGCCCGCGGCCUAUCAGCUAGUUGGUGAGGUAAUGGCUCACCAAGGCUAAGACGGGUAGCUGGUCUGAGAGGAUGGUCAGCCACACUGGGACUGAGACACUGCCCAGACACCUACGGGUGGCUGCAGUCGAGAAUCUUUCGCAAUGGGGGCAACCCUGACGAAGCGACGCCGCGUGGAGGAUGAAGGUCUUCGGAUUGUAAACUCCUGUCGGCUGGGAAGAAAGACUUUCGAUUAAUAAUUGAAAGUUUUGACGGUACCAGCAAAGGAAGCCACGGCUAACUCUGUGCCAGCAGCCGCGGUAAUACAGAGGUGGCAAGCGUUGUUCGGAUUUAUUGGGCGUAAAGGGUCCGUAGGCGGUUUGGAAAGUCGGGUGUGAAAGCCCACAGCUCAACUGUGGAACUGCAUUCGAAACUCCCAAACUAGAGUAUGAGAGGGGUUAAGGGAAUUCCCGGUGUAAGGGUGAAAUCUGCAGAGAUCGGGAGGAACACCAGUCGCGAAGGCGCUUAACUGGCUCAUUACUGACGCUCAGGGACGAAAGCUAGGGGAGCAAACGGGAUUAGAUACCCCGGUAGUCCUAGCCGUAAACUAUGGUCACUAGUGUUGGGGGG